rnacentral:rRNA from 1 species
AUGAACGCUGGCGGCGUGCCUCAUACAUGCAAGUCGCGCGAACAGACGAGGAGCUUGCUCCUCUGACGUUAGCGGCGGACGGGUGAGUAACACGUGGAUAACCUACCUAUAAGACCGGGAUAACUUCGGGAAACCGGAGCUAAUACCGGAUAAUAUAUUGAACCGCAUGGUUCAAUAGUGAAAGACGGUUUUGCUGUCACUUAUAGAUGGAUCCGCGCCGCAUUAGCUAGUUGGUAAGGUAACGGCUUACCAAGGCGACGAUGCGUAGCCGACCUGAGAGGGUGAUCGGCCACACUGGAACUGAGACACGGUCCAGACUCCUACGGGAGGCAGCAGUAGGGAAUCUUCCGCAAUGGGCGAAAGCCUGACGGAGCAACGCCGCGUGAGUGAUGAAGGUCUUCGGAUCGUAAAACUCUGUUAUUAGGGAAGAACAAAUGUGUAAGUAACUAUGCACGUCUUGACGGUACCUAAUCAGAAAGCCACGGCUAACUACGUG